GAGAACAAAAGUUUUGGUACUAUUAUUACAGCGCCCCGAAGCGAAGGAAGGCGGUCUAGGAUUCCGAAUUCUUCUCUAUCCUUUGCCCGCCCGGUUGGUCAGACCAAAAUCCUCUCCGGUUAACCUACUAUUCUUCAUCCUUAGCAACGCUGCAAACACCCUUUUUCUUUAUAUUUCUUCUUAAAUCAUCGGCUCCGCGCCAGAUUCGGCCAGGAUUGCAGUGAUUUUUUUAUGAGAUAGUUGAUGGCACAUUCAAAUGUGUUGCCUCUUAUCCUGUCUUCAGAAUCAUCAGACAAAAGUGGUAAAGCCAUCUUAACUGCCAACAUGAGAUCCGCCUUUCCUCAUCCUCAGCAGAGCUCUGAUUGCUUGAAUGGACCUGUGGCCAUUCUUUGGGAUAUAGAGAAUUGUCCGGUUCCAAGUGAUGUGCGCCCAGAAGAUGUAGCUGGAAAUAUAAGAAUGGCUUUGCAUGUCCAUCCUGUAAUUAAUGGAGCUGUCACAAUGUUUUCUGCUUAUGGAGAUUUUAACGCCUUCCCGAGGCGAUUAAGGGAGGGUUGUCAGAGAACGGGGGUUAAACUUAUAGAUGUUCCCAAUGGAAGGAAAGAUGCUGCUGAUAAGGCCAUCUUGGUUGACAUGUUUCUUUUUGCUCUUGACAAUCUUCCACCCUCUUCAAUUAUGCUUAUAUCUGGGGACGUGGAUUUUUCUCCUGCGCUUCACAUUCUUGGUCAACGUGGAUAUACUGUGAUUCUUGUCAUUCCUUCUGGUGUGGGUGUUUCAUCAGCUCUCUGUAAUGCAGGAAGGUUUGUUUGGGACUGGCCAAGUGUGGCUCGUGGUGAUGGGUUUCUGCCUCCCAAAAAGGGGUUGUAUCCUCCUCGUGGAGGAACAACAGACAUUGCUGGUGCUCUUAUGGCAUGUCCUAUUAAUGAUAACUCAGAUUUUCAAAAUGAAGAAGAGGCGAUAGUCUACAGAGGCAUCUCACAGAGCUAUUGCAGUACAAGGGACUACUCGAUGAUUUCACAGACUCUAGCUGAAUACAAUAGCACUUCAACUUCUGUGCCAUAUUACUCUGCAGGUAUGAGAUCUCAAAGUCUUCCAUCUGGUUUAAAUGACGUUUCAGCUGGAACUGUUUCCAACUAUGACCAGAAUGACUUCACAUGGAUUCAGCCUGGGGAUCUCAAUGGUUUAAAGGGACAGCUAGUGAAAUUGCUUGAGCUCUGUGGAGGCUGUCUGCCUCUUACACGCCUUCCUGCGGAAUACCAGAAACUUUAUGGGAGGCCUCUUUAUGUGUCAGAGUAUGGAGCAUUGAAACUCGUAAACCUUCUGAAGAAGAUUGGUGAUGCAUUGGCUGUGGAGGGGAAAGGUCAAAAGAAGUUUGUCUAUCUCCGUAACACAAGAGCUGGACCAAGUGCUCCUCCACAGAAUCAGGCGAAAAAAGAUAAAAAAGGAAAAGGUGUUCAGGAAGAUAACACUAAGGCCACAAUAGGAGCUGGAUCCUCAGAUGAGUUCUCAGAUGAUGAACAAAUAAUUGUUGAAGAACAUAGGGGGAGACCGGAGAAAUCUAAUUUAGAAAUGGUGACACUAUCAGAAAUUACUAACAAGAGCCUUGAGAAGUUCAAGUAUGAGCUCCAAGAGAUUUUAGUGAGCUAUUCAUGUCGAAUUUUCCUUGGCUGUUUUGAGGCAAUAUAUCAGCAGCGGUACAAGAGACCACUGGAUUACAAGAGCUUGGGUGUGAAUGAGCUGGAAGAACUGCUAGAUAAGGUAAAAGAUGUGGUGGUUGUACGUGAGGAACCUGCUAGCAAAAGAAAGUUUUUGACUGCUGUUGGUGGCUAGAAAGAGUUGACAAUUUCUGUUGAUAAUGUCUCUACUUCCUUUAGAGUCUGUACCUGAGGGAUUCUUCUGUGCAGUUUGUUGAAUCAAAUGAAGUGCUAUCUCUAGAUAUGAGGCUCGUCCAUCUCUUGAAAAGGAUACCUUACUGUUGGAGUGUCCCCUACGAGUACAGGCGUUCUUUUGGACUCUGUUUUGGUGCUUUCCGUUGCCUCACCUCAUUGAAGAAUGGAAAUGGUACUGUAGAUGUGCUAGCAGUGAGUUUUCUCCCCUUUCGUAUUGAUUGCAAAUGCUGUUGCCAGACUUUUAAACAACCAACAGAUCUGCAGUUAUUUUAGGUUUUGUGUUUUAGAGUCUUUAGCUUAAACAGAGAUAUGGGGUGCCCCCUAGAGAUUGGUGCUUCACUGCAACUCACAAAAUUUGUGUAUUCUGGGAAGAGAAUAUUCCCUUGUCCAUGUUGGCAAUGAUGUAUUCUGUAUCAUCACUGAUAGCAAUUAUAGAUAUAUGAUUCCAGUUUAGAACAAAGUUGUUUUACUUAGCAA